rnacentral:rRNA from 1 species
UGGAUCCAGACUUUGAUUAUGGCUCAGGACGAACGCUGGCGGCGUGCCUAAUACAUGCAAGUCGAGCGAGCUUGCCUAGAUGAUUUUAGUGCUUGCACUAAAUGAAACUAGAUACAAGCGAGCGGCGGACGGGUGAGUAACACGUGGGUAACCUGCCCAAGAGACUGGGAUAACACCUGGAAACAGAUGCUAAUACCGGAUAACAACACUAGACGCAUGUCUAGAGUUUGAAAGAUGGUUCUGCUAUCACUCUUGGAUGGACCUGCGGUGCAUUAGCUAGUUGGUAAGGUAACGGCUUACCAAGGCAAUGAUGCAUAGCCGAGUUGAGAGACUGAUCGGCCACAUUGGGACUGAGACACGGCCCAAACUCCUACGGGAGGCAGCAGUAGGGAAUCUUCCACAAUGGACGAAAGUCUGAUGGAGCAACGCCGCGUGAGUGAAGAAGGGUUUCGGCUCGUAAAGCUCUGUUGGUAGUGAAGAAAGAUAGAGGUAGUAACUGGCCUUUAUUUGACGGUAAUUACUUAGAAAGUCACGGCUAACUACGUGCCAGCAGCCGCGGUAAUACGUAGGUGGCAAGCGUUGUCCGGAUUUAUUGGGCGUAAAGCGAGUGCAGGCGGUUCAAUAAGUCUGAUGUGAAAGCCUUCGGCUCAACCGGAGAAUUGCAUCAGGAACUGUUGAACUUGAGUGCAGAAGAGGAGAGUGGAACUCCAUGUGUAGCGGUGGAAUGCGUAGAUAUAUGGAAGAACACCAGUGGCGAAGGCGGCCCUCUGGUCUGCAACUGACGCUGAGGCUCGAGAGCAUGGGUAGCGAACAGGAUUAGAUACCCUGUAGUCCAUGCCGUAAACGAUGAGUGCUAAGUGUUGGGAGGUUUCCGCCUCUCAGUGCUGCAGCUAACGCAUUAAGCACUCCGCCUGGGGAGUACGACCGCAAGGUUGCAACGGAAAUGAAUUGACGGA